GGUUGCGUGGCCGAGUGGCUAGGCACAGGUCUGCAAAACCUGCUACGGCGGUUCGAUUCCGUCCGCAACCUCCA
rnacentral:tRNA from 1 species